UGAUCUCCCCGUGAAGAAGCGGGGAUAACUAUAUAAGACGAGAAGACCCCAUGGAGCUUUAAACCCAGCAACACCUAUCUUUAUACACCCUUAUAUUCACGUAACUCUACUUGCUCGGUUUUAGGUUGGGGUGACCGCGGAGCACAACAAAACCUCCACGAAAAAAGGACCAACAAUCCUUAUCCAAGAUGCACAUAUCUAAGAAUUAAUAUAUUAACUUUUAAUGAUCCGUUAUUCGAUCAACGAACCAAGUUACCCUGGGGAUAACAGCGCAAUCUACCUCGAGAGCUCCUAUCGACAGGUAGGUUUACGACCUCGAUGUUGGAUCAGGGUAUCCCAGUGGUGCAGCAGCUACUAAAGGUUCGUUUGUUCAACGAUUAAAACCCU
rnacentral:rRNA from 1 species